CGACGGGCUCAUAUUGAAACCUAGUGAUGUAUGAGUUAGUGGCGGACGGGUGAGUAACGCGUGGAGAACCUGCCGUAUACUGGGGGAUAACACUUAGAAAUAGGUGCUAAUACCGCAUAAGCGCACAGCUUCGCAUGAAGCAGUGUGAAAAACUCCGGUGGUAUACGAUGGAUCCGCGUCUGAUUAGCUGGUUGGCGGGGUAACAGCCCACCAAGGCGACGAUCAGUAGCCGGCCUGAGAGGGUGAACGGCCACAUUGGGACUGAGACACGGCCCAAACUCCUACGGGAGGCAGCAGUGGGGAAUAUUGCACAAUGGGGGAAACCCUGAUGCAGCGACGCCGCGUGAGUGAAGAAGUAUUUCGGUAUGUAAAGCUCUAUCAGCAGGGAAGAAAAUGACGGUACCUGACUAAGAAGCCCCGGCUAACUACGUGCCAGCAGCCGCGGUAAUACGUAGGGGGCAAGCGUUAUCCGGAUUUACUGGGUGUAAAGGGAGCGUAGACGGCAGCGCAAGUCUGAAGUGAAAUCCCAUGGCUUAACCAUGGAACUGCUUUGGAAACUGUGCAGCUGGAGUGCAGGAGAGGUAAGCGGAAUUCCUAGUGUAGCGGUGAAAUGCGUAGAUAUUAGGAGGAACACCAGUGGCGAAGGCGGCUUACUGGACUGUAACUGACGUUGAGGCUCGAAAGCGUGGGGAGCAAACAGGAUUAGAUACCCUGGUAGUCCACGCCGUAAACGAUGAUUACUAGGUGUUGGGGGACCAAGGUCCUUCGGUGCCGGCGCAAACGCAUUAAGUAAUCCACCUGGGGAGUACGUUCGCAAGAAUGAAACUC
rnacentral:rRNA from 1 species